rnacentral:rRNA from 1 species
GACGAACGCUGGCGGCGUGCUUAACACAUGCAAGUCGAACGGAAAGGCCCUGCUUUUGUGGGGUGCUCGAGUGGCGAACGGGUGAGUAACACGUGAGUAACCUGCCCUUGACUUUGGGAUAACUUCAGGAAACUGGGGCUAAUACCGGAUAGGAGCUCCUGCUGCAUGGGGGGGGUUGGAAAGUUUCGGCGGUUGGGGAUGGACUCGCGGCUUAUCAGCUUGUUGGUGGGGUAGUGGCUUACCAAGGCUUUGACGGGUAGCCGGCCUGAGAGGGUGACCGGCCACAUUGGGACUGAGAUACGGCCCAGACUCCUACGGGAGGCAGCAGUGGGGAAUAUUGCACAAUGGGCGGAAGCCUGAUGCAGCAACGCCGCGUGCGUGAUGACGGCCUUCGGGUUGUAAACCGCUUUCACCUGUGACGAAGCGUGAGUGACGGUAAUGGGUAAAGAAGCACCGGCUAACUACGUG